rnacentral:lncRNA from 1 species
GAAUGGCCUGGACUACACUACACUGUGCACAUCCUCUGUUCUAAGUGCCUUAAGAGAGGGUCGCCAAAUCCACACGCUUUCCCAGUAAAUCCCAGGCAGAGCCUGAGGGACUGAUGGUACCACCAGCAUUGCCAGCACCGACACCAGCAUCAUCACCGACUUGCUCUGAGACCUUUCAAAGCUAAUCCUCCCUUUUGAGGGAGAAAGCUUCCCUUUGUCCUAAGGAUCACUGCGGUCUUGGUUAUUUAUUCGCUCCUCCUUUGGAAGGAUCAAGGUCAUCAAGUCAUUUCCAGCUUCCAGAGACUAUGGACUGACUCUGAAGAAGACAGCACCAAUUAGAGUGGGUGUUGCCAAGCAUAUGCGACUACCACUGGCAGGUCUCUUUGUCGAGGGAGGCUUUGUUGAGGUGUUUGCCUAUUAUUAGCCUAUUAAAUGUUGAGAGAUUCAAAGAGUUAAA